rnacentral:rRNA from 1 species
GAUGAACGCUGGCGGCGUGCCUAAUACAUGCAAGUCGAGCGAACAGACGAGGAGCUUGCUCCUCUGACGUUAGCGGCGGACGGGUGAGUAACACGUGGAUAACCUACCUAUAAGACUGGGAUACUUCGGGAAACCGGAGCUAAUACCGGAUAAUAUAUUGAACCGCAUGGUUCAAUAGUGAAAGACGGUUUUGCUGUCACUUAUAGAUGGAUCCGCGCCGCAUUAGCUAGUUGGUAAGGUAACGGCUUACCAAGGCAACGAUGCGUAGCCGACCUGAGAGGGUGAUCGGCCACACUGGAACUGAGACACGGUCCAGACUCCUACGGGAGGCAGCAGUAGGGAAUCUUCCGCAAUGGGCGAAAGCUUGACGGAGCAACGCCGCGUGAGUGAUGAAGGUCUUCGGAUCGUAAAACUCUGUUAUUAGGGAAGAACAAAUGUGUAAGUAACUAUGCACGUCUUGACGGUACCUAAUCAGAAAGCCACGGCUAACUACGUG